rnacentral:lncRNA from 1 species
GGUAACUCUGCCCUGAAGGGCAGCUGCUCAGGUGGGUUAGGGAUUGAUGGUGCCUUGUUUGGGAGCCUAUGGGUCGGAGCAACCGUGUGGAUUCACUUGUUUUUAUCCCGCGAGCUUGACAAGGAAGAGGGGGAGACCCGGGAGGGCGCAGCCGAGCGCUUGGAGAGCAGGGUGACCCGCAGGAUACCCUGACGCUGGGGCUACUGUAUGAAUCUCUGCAUCCGGACGGGGCAAAUGCGUGAACUUGGGAUCGGUUCAGCUGCACAGCCUGGGUGGCCAGGUUCUGUCCAUUUUGAUCUGAGGACACCGUCCACUGAGAGCUAUGAAUUGCAUGAAAAGAGAAGAGGGACUUAGCUUGAAAGUGCAGCACUUGGGAAGCUGAGGCCGGAGGAUGCAAGUUGAGGCCAUUCUUGGCUGCUGUGUGAGAUCCUCCCUCAGAAGAGGGAAGAAGAAACCAUGGUCAAAUAUUCUGGCUCUGCUAUUUUCUGGUGUUUCGCAGCCUCGGUUUCUCUGCCUGUGGAAUGAGGAGCCAGACUUUCAGAGCAGGUUACAGCCUUAUCUGGGGACCCACGUUUUCCACUCUGGCUCCACAUCCUGGGAACAAUCGCCACUCCAGAGCCUGAAUGGAAAGCGAGGGCGCCCCAUUUCUGCUGAAUGGCUGUCUCAGUUCAUCGGACGCUGGAGGGCUUUUGAUGGCCUCAAUACAAGUUACGCCCAAAGAGUGUCUCUUUGGUCAGAUCGACAACGCUUGGUUUCACGUUUGCAAGUUAAACGGGCCAAAACCCAGCUGAAACUCCCACGCCAGACGCCGGGGCGACAUUUCCCUCCACCCCGCACAGAGCAAAACUAGGGAAAGGGACUGGGCAGGGGGAGGGAAGGGGGGCUGGCAGGGAGGGGGAGUGGAGGAGAGUGGGUCCUGAUUCUCAGUAGCAGUCUAGGAGUAGAUGGGGGGGCGGGGUUGGUAUUUUUCUUGUUUUGUAUUUUUUUAUUUUUUUUUUAAUUUUGCUUUGCUGACAGCUUUACCCGCAACAACAACAAUAACAAAAUAAACCGAGAGCAUUUUUUUCCUUGUCUUCA